AGGCUGUGAUGGGGAGAGCUGGCAGGAGCCUAGGAGUGGGACUCUGAGAUGACCCAGUAUGCAUCAGACAACAGUGCCCUGGAGAGACCCUCAAAGGUCUCUUGAGCCCACACAAGGGGACCCUCCCAGAGAGAGAGUUUGACUGUCAGGACAGCUCUCCCACUCUGCAGCGCCGCAGGGACUCCUCACCACCUCUGUUGUCCCUGUUCAGCCAAAUACUCCAUCUAAUCCUCCUAUCUCUGCCUGUCUUCCAGGCCGCUAUCUUUUCUUUCAUUUUCCUUUUCAAACUUGAAUCUGUUUUCCUCCCUUUCAUUUGCUUAUCUAUUGCUUUCUCCUUGUUUUUUCUUAUUACCUUUUUUCCCCUCAAAAUUGAAGGGAUACUGAGAAUUCCCCCCCAAUCCCCCCCUCUUUUUUUUUAAAAAACAGGAUCUCUCUCUGUUGCCCAGGCUGCAGUGCAGUGGUGCAACCAGAGCUCAUUUGCUGCCUCAACCUCCCAGGCUCCAGCAAGCCUCCCACCUCAGCCUCCUGAGUAGCUAUGACUGCAGGCAUUCACCACUAUGCCCAGUGAAUUUUUUAUUUUUUAAUGUUUUUGUAGAGAUGGGGUCUUGCUAUGUUGCUCAGGCUGGUCUUGAAUUUCUUGCCUCAAGUGAUCCUCCAGCCUCUGCCUCCCAAUGUGCUGGGAUUACAGGCAUAAGCCGCAGUGCCCAGACAUUUCUUCCCAUUAAAUUAAAUUAAUUAAUUAAUUUAGAGACAGGGUCUGGCUCUGUUGCCCAGGCUGGGGUGCGGUGGCACAAUCAGAGCUCACUACAUUUGCAAUCUCUGGGGCUCAAGCAAUCCUCCCGCCUCAGCCUCCUGAGUAGCUGGAACUACAAGCAUGCACCAUCAUGCUUAGCUAAUUUUUGUACUUUUUGUAGAGACAGGAUCUUGCUAUGUUGCCCAGGCCAGUCCCAAACUCCUUGGCUCAAGUGAUCCUCCUGUCUCAGCCUCGACCUCAUGUAAUUGACACCGAAAAGAAAUAAAACAUUACCAUCUUCCCCCUCCUUCCACAGAUUACUAGUCCCUUGAAUUUUCUUGCAUAUUAAUUUUUGCAGGAGGCAAUGAUUUCUUUUUUUUUUUUGAGACAGAGUCUUUCUCUGUCACUCAGGCUGGAGUGCAGUGGUGCGAUGUUGGCUCACUGCAACCUGCAUCUCGGCUCACUGCUCAAGUGAUCUGCCUACCUCAGCCUCCCAAAAUGCUGGGAUUACAGGCAUGAGCCACCAUGCCCGGCCAGGAGGCAACAUUUCAAGACAUGUUUUUUGGAUCCAUAAUGGAAGGGGAUGAGACACAGAGGGAGCCAGGGGCACCUGACAUAGACCCUGGAAUUCUUACCAUUUGAAUUAGAUCAUGAUAGCCCCUUUAAAAGGCAUGCUGGCUUAAGCUGAAGGUGUUAAGUGGUCUUGAAAAAGACAAAUACAAUCGUACAAUGUAUUACCAGAAGUGUAACGUUCCGGACACAGGAGAAGUCAAGCAAUGGAGUAUUCGCACUAGUCAGGAUAGCACACUCAAUGCUGAGCAUCGUUACGGAAUGAGCAAAGGAAUACCUGCACUUGUUCCAGGCCCAGACGUUGAAAACAUGCAAAGAAGCAGCAAACAACAGUGGACCGGUAAUCUCAUCAUUCCAAACAACCACUUUUAACUUUUUUUGGAAAUAUUUUUCCAGGAUAUUUGCUAAAUAGGUGUUAAAAACUAAGAGGGAGAGCAAGGCGGAAUGUGUGCAGAGGAAAGUCACCAGAACGGGGUGGUGAGUGAGGCAUGGAAUUGCAACUGUGUAAAGAGCUAUGUCAGGCGAGGGAGGGAGGCCAACUCUUCUGUGUUGUUUCAGAGAAUACUAUUGGAAUCACAGAGAUAGCCUCAGCCUCCUGAGUAGCUGGGAUUAUAGGCAUGCACCAGCACGCCAGGCUAAUUUUGUAUUUUUAGUAGAGACGGGGUUUCACCAUGUUGGUCAGGCUGGUCUUGAACUCCUGACCUUGUGAUCUGCUCGCCUCAGCCUCCCAAAGUGCUGGGAUCACAGGCAUGAGCCACCGUGCCUGGCCAGUCUUCACAUUUCCUUGACUCUUCACUCUGCUUCUGUAUAGUUUACCCCCAGCAAAGGUUUGUAAUCUCAGGCUGGUUUCACUGUGCCACCCAGAACCCACCUUUAUCAUUUUCCAGACUACCAGUGGUUGGAGACACUUGUUCUGGUAAUAUCUCCAGCAAAGCCUCAUCAGAAAAAAUAUAUUUCUUAUAAGAAAAUUGUCUGAUCCUUUCAGAAUAGAAAAGCUUUUGGGUUUUUGGAUGUUUCAAGGUACCUGUACUAUUGUCUCUACCUUUUUUUUUGAG
rnacentral:lncRNA from 1 species